GCUCUUGGUUGUAGCCUUCGGUUGACAGCUGUCAGUGUCAGUUUACAUAAUUUAUAGAUUUCAGCGCAUAAAAAAGUCAUAAAAUUUACAAUGUUGCUUUCAACAAAAACACAUUCAGCCUGCCUGCCUGCUGCCUGCUGCCUAGAGCCUGGUCCUGGCAUACCCGAUUCUUUUGAUGCCUUAUUUUUAUGAGCGAAGACAUCAAUUUUCGCACAGCAACAGCAACUACAAUCUAUAUACAUAUACAUUUAUACAUAUACACAUACAAAUACACAUAUGUAUAGAUUGUAUAUUUAUCUGCGUAUUUCUCUAUUUCUUCAAUACUUCUUCAGCGAUAAAUCCUCGCACUCAACAAAAUACAUAAACGAUUUAUAGUUGAACAAACGGCACAAAAUGCAACAAUAGCCAAAAAAAAAAAAGAAGAAAAAUACAGAAAUACAAAAAAUACAACAGCAAAAAAAGCAAGACAAGGGGCACAGUAGCUAACGGCCAGCGCCUCAGCUAUAGGAACAAGUUUUCCUGCUGUUACCAAAUCCCGGCGCAACAUAAAUCUUUAAUGGAAAAUCUUGGCAGCAGGCGAAAGACCAUAUGCAGCGAGGGCAGUCCAAACAGAAACUGAUAUACCAAAAAAUAAACAAGCAACAAAGCUUUUAGUCUCUAGCUUUUGUGGCUUAUAAUAACGAAUGGAAUGAGAGACUCAGCUCGUUGCCCUGAUCCAGAAUAUAUAGCUUAAGAGCCUGAUUUCACAUUUUCAAUGGAUCUAUGUACCCAAUAAAGGAGAGGAAAGAAAAGUUGAACCCACAACUUACUUGACAAUAAUCAUGGAAAUUUAAUAAAAUGUUAAUCCGAAAACUUAAUGAUAAUUACAAUAAUAUUAAUAACAUAUAAAGUUAGACUCUAUUUCCUAAGCCGUGCGAAAUAUAGUUUGAUAGUUGAAAA